rnacentral:pre_miRNA from 1 species
UAACAUUCUAUCACUGGGUGCGUGAUGAUUGUGGUAGAGAUUUUCACAUAACGCCACCAUCACAUGUGACAUCUCUCCUGUCUCUCUGUAAUGCAGUCAUCAUACUCACAGUUGAUAUGUUUGACAUUC